rnacentral:rRNA from 1 species
GUGGGGAAUAUUGGGCAAUGGGGGAAACCCUGACCCAGCAACGCCGCGUGAAGGAAGAAGGCCUUCGGGUUGUAAACUUCUUUUAGCAGGGACGAAGGACGUGACGGUACCUGCAGAAAAAGCAACGGCUAACUACGUGCCAGCAGCCGCGGUAAUACGUAGGUUGCGAGCGUUGUCCGGAAUUACUGGGUGUAAAGGGCGUGUAGGCGGAGCUGCAAGUCAGAUGUGAAAUGUCAUGGCUCAACCAUGGAACUGCAUUUGAAACUGUGGCCCUUGAGUAUCGGAGAGGCAAGCGGAAUUCCUAGUGUAGCGGUGAAAUGCGUAGAUAUUAGGAGGAACACCAGUGGCGAAGGCGGCUUGCUGGACGACAACUGACGCUGAGGCGCGAAAGCGUGGGGAGCAAACAGG